rnacentral:rRNA from 1 species
AUGGGGAGGAGCCCUGCACGGUUGGAGGGGUCACCGGCGCUGGGAUCCGGGCAGCAGAGGUCGGGGACGAGUCCGGAGAUGCGCGACCCGACACCUCUGGCCCAUGGCAGGAGGCCAUGGCAGGCGGACGGCGAAGGGCUUGGCAGCAGGGACGAAAUGGAGGGAGGCCGGGCAACCACGAGCUCGGGCAGGAGAAAGCAGGUCGGGGAGGUCCUGCGGCGGCGAGGUAGUCCUGGCUUGGGCGCCGACGAGAGGAGGCAGGACGCGCACAGCAGAGUAGCGGCAGUGCACGUCCAUGGUUGA